GAUGAACGCUGGCGGCGUGCCUAAUACAUGCAAGUAGAACGCUGAAGGAGGAGCUUGCUCUUCUGGAUGAGUUGCGAACGGGUGAGUAACGCGUAGGUAACCUGCCUGGUAGCGGGGGAUAACUAUUGGAAACGAUAGCUAAUACCGCAUGACAACAGUUAUUGCAUGAUAACUGUUUAAAAGGGGCAACUGCUCCACUACCAGAUGGACCUGCGUUGUAUUAGCUAGUUGGUGAGGUAACGGCUCACCAAGGCGACGAUACAUAGCCGACCUGAGAGGGGGAUCGGCCACACUGGGACUGAGACACGGCCCAGACGCCUACGGGAGGCAGCAGUAGGGAAUCUUCGGCAAUGGACGGAAGUCUGACCGAGCAACGCCGCGUGAGUGAAGAAGGUUUUCGGAUCGUAAAGCUCUGUUGCAAGAGAAGAACGAGUGUGAGAGUGGAAAGUUCACACUGUGACGGUAUCUUACCAGAAAGGGACGGCUAACUACGUG
rnacentral:rRNA from 1 species